UCCUCUCCAAUCGACUCAUUCCCCAAUUGCUUGAAACGUGGUGGGCAUCCCAUAUGUCAAAGAUAAAUCCUACAUCUACAUGCAGGGUCUUACAGCAAGAACAAUCUGAGCCAGUUAGCUCAUUUUACUUUGUAAUGUUCUUUGGUCGGGCUUAAAAUUAUAAGAUCUUGUUUGAAUCUUCCAUGCUGCUAGGCUUCGGGCCAUUGGGAUGUAGGUUUGGCCUGUGGUGGUUCCUCUUCAACGCAGCUAUUACAGGUAGCCAUCGAUCAUCUACUUCUAUUAUGCAUGUAGACUUUAAUAGCGAAUUAUUUAGGUGCUCUUCUACAUUUUGCUGUCGUUUUCUUCUGCCAGUUAGCAGGAAGUUCAAGUCACUUUCACAGUUUAAUCAUCUUUUCAUUCAGAAUUUAGAAUUUGAAAUGAUGAUUAACUUGUUUGGUAAAAUUCUUGCCUUUGCAUCACUCUACCUUCAUUUCUUUAAACAUGUCUCUAAAAGACAUUGAUAAGUUGCCUAUGGAUUAUGAUAGCUGAGAGUAAAUUGUUCAUGUGGAGAAAUGCUAUGAAUUCUCGAUUGGAGAGGAGAAUGAAACAUUCUUUAUAAGGGUAUAGAAACAUCUCCCUAACAGAUCCAUCUUAAAACCGUGAGGCCGAUGACAAUACGUAUGAGCCAAAAUAGACAAUAUCUGCUAGCGGAGGGUUUGGGCUGUUACAAAUGAUAUCAAAGGCAGACACUGAGUGGUGUGUCAAUGAGGACACUGAAUCCCCAAGGGGGUGAUCUCACAUCAGUUAGAGAGGAGAACGAAACAUUCCUUAUAAGGGUGUGAAAACCUCUCCCUAACAGACGUGUUUUAGAACUAUAAAGUUGAUGGCGAUAUGUUCUUCACUUUCACUCACUUAGGAGUCCAACUCAAAUCUUCCUAACAUGAGAGAGAUCCUCGAGAAAAUGCAUAAAUCCUCGAGAAUCAUGCCACCAACCAAAUCUUUCACCUGACCAAAGUAGAAAAAUACUCAAAUUCUCAUUGAACAAUGUGCAUUCUACAUUAUUGCCAUCAUUUUACGUUUUACAUUUGAAGUUAAAACAUGAUACAUUUCUAUUCAUGGAGGUUUCUUUGGAAUGUCUUCUCAUAAUUUGACUCUUUCAAUUAUUUGAUGAAGAUUGCAGUGUUUAGUUUUGUAGGCUUCCCCAACAUGUGGUUCCAUGGCUAGAGGCACACCAAGGGGGCAUCAUGGGGGUAAGCUUUCGAGGCAGACAGAGCGUAGGCGGAAGGGAAAGGGAAAGAGGCAACGGUACAAAAGAGCGGACAGGUAUUGGUGGUGGCGACGGCAGCGUCGGUUGGGUAAUCUCAUCCACUAAGGUAGGCUCGAACAUCUGACUUUAUUGGUAGAACUCCAAC